GAACGCAGCGAAAUGCGAUAAGUAAUGUGAAUUGCAGAAUUCAGUGAAUCAUCGAAUCUUUGAACGCACAUUGCGCCCGCCAGUAUUCUGGCGGGCAUGCCUGUUCGAGCGUCAUUUCAACCCUCAGACCCCUCCGGGGGCCUGGUGUUGGGGCCCGGCCGUCACGGCGCCGGCCCCGAAAUCUAGUG
rnacentral:rRNA from 2 species